CCUACGGGAGGCAGCAGUCGAGAAUCAUUCACAAUGGGGGAAACCCUGAUGGUGCGACGCCGCGUGGGGGAAUGAAGGUCUUCGGAUUGUACACCCCUGUCAUGUGGGAGCAAAUUAAAAAGAUAGUACCACAAGAGGAAGAGACGGCUAACUCUGUGCAAGCAGCCGCGGUAAUACAGAGGUCUCAAGCGUUGUUCGGAAUCACUGGGCGUAAAGCGUGCGUAGGCUGUUUCGUAAGUCGUGUGUGAAAGGCGCGGGCUCAACCCGCGGAAGGCACAUGAUACUGCGUGACUAGAGUAAUGGAGGGGGAACCGGAAGUCUCAGUGUAGCAGGGAAAUGCGUAGAUAUCGAGAGGAACACUCGUGGCGAAGGCGGGUUCCUGGACAUUAACUGACGCUGAGGCACGAAGGCCAGGGGAGCGAAAGGGAUUAGAUACCCGGGUAGUC
rnacentral:rRNA from 1 species